rnacentral:rRNA from 1 species
GGCGAACCGGGGGAACUGAAACAUCUAAGUACCCCGAGGAAAAGAAAUCAACCGAGAUUCCGAAAGUAGCGGCGAGCGAAAUUGGACUAGCCCUUAAGCUUUACACGCGUUAGACGAACGGUCUGGAAAGUCCGACGAUACAGGGUGAUAGUCCCGUAGUUGACGACGUGUGUUCAGUGAAAUCGAGUAGGGCGGGACACGUGAUAUCCUGUCUGAAUAUGGGGGGACCAUCCUCCAAGGCUAAAUACUACUGACUGACCGAUAGUGAACCAGUACCGUGAGGGAAAGGCGAAAAGAACCCCUGUGAGGGGAGUGAAAUAGAACCUGAAACCGUGUACGUACAAGCAGUAGGAGCAGGCUUUGUCCUGUGACUGCGUACCUUUUGUAUAAUGGGUCAGCGACUUAUAUUCAGUGGCAAGGUUAACCAUCUAGGGGAGCCGUAGGGAAACCGAGUCUUAACUGGGCGUUCAGUCUCUGGAUAUAGACCCGAAACCAGGUGAUCUAGCCAUGGGCAGGUUGAAGGUUGAGUAACAUCAACUGGAGGACCGAACCGACUAAUGUUGAAAAAUUAGCGGAUGACUUGUGGCUAGGGGUGAAAGGCCAAUCAAACCUGGAGAUAGCUGGUUCUCCCCGAAAGCUAUUUAGGUAGCGCCUCGGACGAAUACUACUGGGGGUAGAGCACUGUUAAGGCUAGGGGGUCAUCCCGACUUACCAACCCUUUGCAAACUCCGAAUACCAGUAAGUACUAUCCGGGAGACACACGGCGGGUGCUAACGUCCGUCGUGGAGAGGGAAACAACCCAGACCGCCAGCUAAGGUCCCAAAUUACUACUAAGUGGGAAACGAUGUGGGAAGGCUCAGACAGCCAGGAUGUUGGCUUAGAAGCAGCCAUCAUUUAAAGAAAGCGUAAUAGCUCACUGGUCGAGUCGGCCUGCGCGGAAGAUGUAACGGGGCUAAGUAGUAAACCGAAGCUGCGGCAAUGUGCUUUUGCACAUUGGGUAGGGGAGCGUUCUGUAAGCGGUUGAAGGUGUGUGGUAACGCAUGCUGGACGUAUCAGAAGUGCGAAUGCUGACAUGAGUAACGAUAAAGGGGGUGAAAAACCUCCUCGCCGGAAGACCAAGGGUUCCUGUCCAACGUUAAUCGGGGCAGGGUAAGUCGACCCCUAAGGCGAGGCCGAAAGGCGUAGUCGAUGGGAAACGGGUUAAUAUUCCCGUACUUCUUACAAUUGCGAUGGGGGGACGGAGAAGGCUAGGUGGGCCUGGCGACGGUUGUCCAGGUUCAAGUGCGUAGGCUUAAGAGUUAGGUAAAUCCGGCUCUUUUUAAGGCUGAGACACGACGUCGAGCAUCUACGGAUGUGAAGUCAUUGAUGCCAUGCUUCCAGGAAAAGCCUCUAAGCUUCAGAUUGU